AAAACCCCUCUGCUUCCAGCCGUCAGUGAGCGCCACCCUCUCCAGGAACAGAUGUCCUGCGUUCUAAAUGAAGAGUGCAGAGCCCACAGCAAACAACUGUCCCCAGCAGCCCGGAUCCCUCUGACAUCAGCCCCCAGGAAUGUGCUGCAGACCCUCUAGCACGUUCAGGCCUCCCAGGGGAUACCCUCCCCUCCCCUCCUCCAUCCCAGUGUUUCACUGGGGACAGGCCUCUGAGCUGCAGACGGAGGCCCACGGAGGGUGGAAGACAGCCCACCCCGCUCCAGACCUGGAGACUGGAGGAGUGACUGGAGUGAGUGAGGCAGCCUUGAGUGGAGUGGAGCGGGAAGCCUGCCUGUGAAAGAGGCAGCUAGGCCAAUAGCUGGACUGUAGGAAGAACACGGAGCUGGACUGAUUCAACCAAGAGUCCUACCGACCGGUGCUCCCCUUGCCAAGAGUGAAGGCAGAUGCCGUGGGAUUCUGCCAGCUGCUGAGUACAUCUAUUUCCAUGAUGCUUUCCGGAAGUGGGGAAAUAGCACAGAAUGGGUUUCAGAUGGACGUAAGCUAAAAACCCAUAAGCCCCCACUUUGAUGUUCUGGGUCUCCUAGAAUUACUGUCAGCUCAGAACCAGUGGCCAGUAGUCCAAAAGAUCUGAUUAUUUCCUUUUCUCCAAUGCACGCUCAUCCUGGUGAAAGGUGUCUUUGGAGAACUGGGAGAAAGAAUACAGUAUAGAUUUCUGGCAGGCUACGAGGGUGCUUCCUUGAGGGUACCCAGCCUUUCCCUCAUUCAAGAGCUUCCAGUCUGAUAAAACUGGCUCAAGUACGGGAAUGGAUUGAGGGGUCAUGACUCUACUCUGCUUUUAUGAUUUGGGAUAGACUUUUGUUUGCUUGACCUAGAAGUUUUCUGCUUAUACAGAUUAAGUACGAACUUAGUAGGCUUCCUGUCUAUUUCACUUCGAGGAACAUCAUGAUCAACCAGCCAACACCACAGGUCUGCAGCAGUCAGACUGAUUUCUGCUUUGACUCCACUGUCCAAUAGGGUCAGCACGUCCACCUUGCCUUUGGUAGUACUACAGCCACGGGGCCCCCGCCACCCUGGAGCCAAUUACUCCGGUCGCAUUCAGGUUACUGGUUCAGUGGCUGCUGUUCCUGCUGUGAGGUCUGGCCUUCAGAGAAGAGUGAUCACAGCUCCUCAAGGAGGCUGGAGCUCCUUUCAUAUAUUUACUUCUCACCAUCAAGGUGAAAGGCAUGUCUUCAGGAGCUUCCCAGCGUGGGUGAGGAGGUCUUAAAGGGAAGCCAAACAUGCCGCAGACCACGCGGGAAUUCUUGGCCGUCCAGUGCUUGUCACAGAUCUGCUUCCAGGUCUUGCCCUCCUUCACCUCCACGUAGCCCUCCAUCACUGGGGUGCGCUUGCGGUAGGUUGAGAGGAUGGCUCGAAUCCGAAUGUCCUCCACCUGGAUAUUCAGGUUCUGGGAAGAAAGAGGCGUGGAAGGAGAGGGUUACCCUACUGGCCUGGCUGCAGAGACACCAGGCAACCAGUACUUCUUUAGCGACUAUGGGCCAGGCCUGCCGCGGGCCUGCCUGUGCCCUCAGGCCCUGCAGUGAGCUCUGGGCAACCCCGAGGGGCACACGGCCCAAGCUGCAGUUAGAAAGCGCUAUGCAUGGGAGAUAGUGAGGCUGAAAGGACCCAACAGGGAGUGGGGUGACCUGGAACAGUCAGAAAAGACUCAGAGACCCCAUGGGCUUCUCCUACAUCCGAACCUAAGAUCUUGGAGAGCAAAGGGCAGCAGCCUCCUCCUGCA
rnacentral:lncRNA from 10 species